rnacentral:rRNA from 1 species
GACGAACGCUGGCGGCGUGCUUAACACAUGCAAGUCGAACGAAGAGCGAUGGACGCUUGCUUCUAUCAAUCUUAGUGGCGAACGGGUGAGUAACGCGUAAUCAACCUGCCCUUCAGAGGGGGACAACAGUUGGAAACGACUGCUAAUGCCGCAUACGAUCUGACCUCGGCAUCGAGGAUAGAUGAAAGGUGGCCUCUAUUUAUAAGCUAUCACUGAAGGAGGGGAUUGCGUCUGAUUAGCUAGUUGGAGGGGUAACGGCCCACCAAGGCGAUGAUCAGUAGCCGGUCUGAGAGGAUGAACGGCCACAUUGGGACUGAGACACGGCCCAGACUCCUACGGGAGGCAGCAGUGGGGAAUCUUCCGCAAUGGACGAAAGUCUGACGGAGCAACGCCGCGUGAGUGAUGACGGCCUUCGGGUUGUAAAGCUCUGUUAAUCGGGACGAAAGGCCUUCUUGCGAAUAGUUAGAAGGAUUGACGGUACCAGAAUAGAAAGCCACGGCUAACUACGUG